CCUUUUCUUUCAUUUCCUUUCAGCUUCUCCUCAACUCUCAGUUUGAGGUAGAACCGGGUUUGCUCAUCAGUCCAUGCAGUGUGCUUGAUCCCAAAUUUUCUCCAAACGUGUCUUUCCCCAUAAGCUUCAUAAAACUUGUCGAUAAUGGACUGUCUCCCAACUUCAUUAAGAUUUCCUUUUCUUUCAUUUCCUUUCAGCUUCUCCUCAACUCUCAGUUUGAGGUAGAACCGGGUUUGCUCAUCAGUCCAUGCCAGAGACUAACAUUCAAAUAUUCAAUACCAAAGACUAAACUAAACUAGGAGAAUCAUUCAAAUAUUCAAUACCAGAGACUAAACUAAACUAAGAGAACCAUUCAAAUAUUCAAUACCAGAGACUAAACUAAACUAAGAGAACCAUUC
rnacentral:lncRNA from 1 species